GCGGUCGAGAGCGGGCUGAAGAACUUUUUGGGUGGUGAAGAGCAGAAAGACGAUGGAGGCAAAGAAGACAAAGAGGGAUUCAGUUUCGGAAAGUUCCUCUCAUCCGGUGAUGAUGGACAGAAAGAUGUAAAUGAAGGAUCACCCAGUUGUGGACAGACAGAUGACGACAACAGUGGAUUUGGUUUAGCAAGCGCCCUCAACCCCGGCGGUGGUGGACAAAACGAUCCUGACAACGGAGGACUUGGUUCAGGAGAUGCCAAAGGUGGUGGACAGAAAAAUGAUGACAACACGGGAGCUGGAGAACCAGGGAUAGAUGCUGCAGCCGCAGCUCUUGGAGAUCUCUUUGACCAGUAAUCCUGCAGACCACGUCCAACGAGGCUCUGCCUGCAGCGUCCUCAGAGAGAAGCAACUCCACCCAAACUGCUGGAACAUUGUUGCUUUCAAAUUAUUUGCUUUUGAGUUUUACACAGAAAACGUGACGCUACCAGAAACAUCCUCCAAACUUUUGAACAUCAGAUCAAUAGAAAGUGAUAUACCUGUAAGAAACAUGUACAUGUCUUAGUUAAAUGUUGAAUUAAAUGUUAGUGGCUGGCUCCUGCUGGGUGACAAAGAGUUUGACACGUUGGCAAUGUUUGUUUUCUCUAAAUGAAAAUUAAAUUUUAUUCUCUAUACUGACAAAUUCUGUGAACUUUGGUAGAGAAGAUAUGAACUAAAUGUUAAAACACCAGUGCAAUUUAUCUUCUGUAUUCUGCUGAAGGUUGCUAAUGCUAAUGCUAAUCAAAUGCUAAUUAAAUAGUAUCAGCAGCAGUUUGUCCUGAUUUUGUUGGUUUUGAUCUUCACUAAAUAUUCAGUACAAACUUCAGGCUCAGAUUUGAUCGGUGCUGGAAUGUACCUGAGUACAUUUACUCAAGUUCUGUAACUAAAAGUAAAGUACUUUAAAUCUGUACUUGAGUAUUUUCUUUUCAUGACACAUUAUACUUCUACUCGAUAGAAAGGUUUGUAAAAUCUUAUGUUUAGUUAAAAACAGUUUUUUAAAGUCCAGCUGAAGCCAUGAAUUCCUUAAUCAAUUAUUGGAUUGACAGAAUAUUAAUAUAAAACGAUGGUGUGUACAUGCAUAUGUGUGAGUGUGUGUUUGAUCUGAGGUUUAAUGGAAGCAAACAGACACACUAACUUGAAAUGCAUUGAAACCUAUUGAAACUAAUGGAGACCGGCUCCUCCAGUAAAUUUUCACCUGCUGUUUGACCAAUAGAAGUUCUGUAAAACUUUUGUUUGAAUAUAAAUAUAUAGAUAUGAGCCCCUCA